rnacentral:rRNA from 1 species
CCUGCUCAAUGUAUAAAUAAAUAGCCGCAGAAUUUCUGUGCUAAGGUAGCAUAAUCAAUUGUCUUUUAAUUAAAGAAUAGAAUGAAGGAUACACGAAUUAAUAACUUUUUUAUUAAUAUAUAAUAAAAUUAUAAUAAAUGUAAAAACCCAUUUAAAUAUAAGAAAAGACGACAAGACCCUAUCGAAUUUAACUACAAUAGUUUAGCUGGGGUGGCUAAAAAUAAAAACUUAAUAUUUAUCUACCAAAAAACUAAAAAAUUAAAUUUACUAAUAUUACCGUAGGGAUAACAGAGCAAUAAUAUACAAAAGUUCAAAUAAAAUAUAAAUCUUGCGACCUCGAUGUUGAAUUAUUUUAUCUAAAUUAAGCAAAAAUAAUAAAAGAAUGUCUGUUCGACAUACAAAAAAAUACAU